rnacentral:rRNA from 1 species
UACGUAGGGGGCAAGCGUUGUCCGGAUUUAUUGGGCGUAAAGAGCGUGUAGGCGGCCUGACAAGUCUGCUGUGAAAACUCGAGGCUUAACCUCGAGCUGUCGGCGGAAACCAUCUGGCUAGAGUCCGGAAGAGGAGAAUGGAAUUCCCGGUGUAGCGGUGAAAUGCGCAGAUAUCGGGAAGAACACCCGUGGCGAAGGCGGUUCUCUGGGACGGUACUGACGCUGAGACGCGAAAGCGUGGGGAGCGAACAGG